CCCUUAGAUGUUCUGGGCCGCACGCGCGCUACACUGAUGCAUUCAACGAGCCUAUCCUUGACCGACAGGUCCGGGUAAUCUUUGAAUCUGCAUCGUGACGGGGAUAGAUUAUUGCAAUUAUUAAUCUUCAACGAGGAAUGCCUAGUAGGCGCAAGUCAUCAGCUUGCGUCGAUUACGUCCCUGCCCUUUGUACACACCGCCCGUCGCUCCUACCGAUUGGGUGUGCUGGUGAAAUGUUAGGAUCGGCCGUUUGUCGCGGUUUCCGCGGCUCGUGGCUGAGAAGUUCAUUAAACCCUCCCACCUAGAGGAAGGAGAAGUCGUAACA
rnacentral:rRNA from 1 species